rnacentral:rRNA from 1 species
GGAAUAUUGGACAAUGGGCGCAAGCCUGAUCCAGCCAUGCCGCGUGUGUGAAGAAGGCCUUAUGGUUGUAAAGCACUUUAAGCGAGGAGGAGGCUACUUUAGAUAAUACCUAGAGAUAGUGGACGUUACUCGCAGAAUAAGCACCGGCUAACUCUGUGCCAGCAGCCGCGGUAAUACAGAGGGUGCAAGCGUUAAUCGGAUUUACUGGGCGUAAAGCGCGCGUAGGCGGCUAAUUAAGUCAAAUGUGAAAUCCCCGAGCUUAACUUGGGAAUUGCAUUCGAUACUGGUUAGCUAGAGUGUGGGAGAGGAUGGUAGAAUUCCAGGUGUAGCGGUGAAAUGCGUAGAGAUCUGGAGGAAUACCGAUGGCGAAGGCAGCCAUCUGGCCUAACACUGACGCUGAGGUGCGAAAGCAUGGGGAGCAAACAGGAUUAGAUACCCUGGUAGUCCAUGCCGUAAACGAUGUCUACUAGCCGUUGGGGCCUUUGAGGCUUUAGUGGCGCAGCUAACGCGAUAAGUAGACCGCCUGGGGAGUACGGUCGCAAGACUAAAACUCAAAUGAAUUGACGG